GUGCUUGCUUCGGCAGCACAUACACUAAAAAUCGGAAAAAUACAGAGAAGAUUAGCAUGUUCCCUGUGCAAGGAUGACACACAAAUUCAUGAAGCAUUAAAUUUUUUU
ensembl:snRNA U6 U6 spliceosomal RNA